rnacentral:rRNA from 1 species
UGCAAGUCGAACGAAGGCUUCGGCCUUAGUGGCGCACGGGUGCGUAACGCGUGGGAAUCUGCCCUUGGGUUCGGAAUAACAGUGAGAAAUUACUGCUAAUACCGGAUGAUGACUUCGGUCCAAAGAUUUAUCGCCCAAGGAUGAGCCCGCGUAAGAUUAGCUAGUUGGUGAGGUAAAGGCUCACCAAGGCGACGAUCUUUAGCUGGUCUGAGAGGAUGAUCAGCCACACUGGGACUGAGACACGGCCCAGACUCCUACGGGAGGCAGCAGUGGGGAAUAUUGGACAAUGGGCGAAAGCCUGAUCCAGCAAUGCCGCGUGAGUGAUGAAGGCCUUAGGGUUGUAAAGCUCUUUUACCAGGGAUGAUAAUGACAGUACCUGGAGAAUAAGCUCCGGCUAACUCCGUGCCAGCAGCCGCGGUAAUACGGAGGGAGCUAGCGUUGUUCGGAAUUACUGGGCGUAAAGCGCACGUAGGCGGCCAUUCAAGUCAGAGGUGAAAGCCCGG